rnacentral:rRNA from 1 species
GAAUACCAAGGCGAUCGAGCGAAUCCUGGUCAAGGAACUCGGCAAAUCACUCCCGUGCCUUCGGUAUAAGGGAGACCCGCUGGGGUGAACCGGCUAGCCCGGGGAGCUUUGGUGGGUGGCACAGACCAGGGGGUAGCGACUGUUUACCAAAAACACAGGUGCAUGCGAAGGCGAAAGCCGCUGUAUAUGCACUGACGCCUGCCCGGUGCCGGAAGGUUAAGAGGAUCCGUCAAUCCCUUCGGGGACGAAGCGGUGAAUUCAAGCCCCGGUAAACGGCGGUGGUAACUAUAACCAUCCUAAGGUAGCGAAAUUCCUUGUCGGGUAAGUUCCGACCUGCACGAAUGGCGUAACGACUUCCCCACUGUCUCGACCAGGAGCUCGGCGAAAUUGCAGUACGAGUAAAGAUGCUCGUUAAGCGCAGAAGGACGAAAAGACCCCGGGACCUUUACUAUACCUUGGUAUUGGCGUUAGGCGCGGAUUGUGUAGCAUAGGCGGGAGGCUUCGAAGCGGGUGCGCCAGCAUUCGUGGAGCCGCAAGGUGAAAUACCGCUCUGUUCUCGUUUGACGUCUAACCUCGACAAGUCAUCCUUGUCAGGGACAGUGCCUGGCGGGUAGUUCAACUGGGGCGGUUGCCUCCCAAAGAGUAACGGAGGCGCUCAAAGGUCCGCUCAGCCCGGUUGGCAAUCGGGUGUCGAGUGUAAUCGCAGAAGCGGGCUUGACUGCGAGGACGACGGUCCGAGCAGGGACGAAAGUCGGAGAUAGUGAUCCGGUGCCGGCGCACGGGCGCGGCAUCGCUCAACGGAUAAAAGGUACCCCGGGGAUAACAGGCUGAUCAUUCCCAAGAGUCCAUAUCGACGGGAUGGUUUGGCACCUCGAUGUCGGCUCGUCGCAUCCUGGGGCUGGAGCAGGUCCCAAGGGUUCGGCUGUUCGCCGAUUAAAGCGGCACGCGAGCUGGGUUCAGAACGUCGUGAGACAGUUUGGUCUCUAUCCUCUGCGCUCGUUGGAAUCCUGAGGAGGCCUGCCCAUAGUACGAGAGGACCUGGGUGGACGAACCUCUGGUAUGCCGGUUGUCGCGCCAGCGGCACGGCCGGUUGGCUACGUUCGGGAGGGAUAACCGCUGAAAGCAUCUAAGCGGGAAGCCUGCUCCAAGAUUAGGAUUCCAUGGAUCUUCGAGAUCCUGUAGCCCGCAUGUUGAACACGUGUUUGAUAGGCCGGAGGUGGAAGUCCCGUGAGGGGUGGAGCCGACCGGUACUAACGGGCGAUGGCGACACAAC